AGUUGGUGUGGUAAAGGCGCACCAAGGCGACGAUCCUUAGCUGGUCUGAGAGGAUGAUCAGCCACACUGGGACUGAGACACGGCCCAGACUCCUACGGGAGGCAGCAGUGGGGAAUAUUGGACAAUGGGCGAAAGCCUGAUCCAGCAAUGCCGCGUGAGUGAUGAAGGCCUUAGGGUUGUAAA
rnacentral:rRNA from 1 species